UACGUAGGGCGCAAGCGUUAUCCGGAUUUACUGGGUUUAAAGGGUGUGUAGGCGGUUAAUUAAGUCGGAGGUGAAAUGUCAGUGCUUAACAUUGGCGCUGUUUCCGAUACUGAUAAACUUGAGAGCGGAUGAGGCGACUGGAAUGAGUGGUGUAGCGGUGAAAUGCGUAGAGAUCACUCAGAACACCGAUUGCGAAGGCAGGUCGCCGGACCGCAUCUGACGCUGAGGCACGAAAGCGUGGGGAUCAAACAGG
rnacentral:rRNA from 1 species